rnacentral:lncRNA from 1 species
CCUUCCUGCGGCGGCCGCCACCAGCCGGAAUAGCAACCGGCGGAGCCCGUGCGCACCGCAGCGCAGCGCAGCGGCCGGGGGGUGCGGGCGCCCUCGCCGCCCGGCUACCUACCGCCGCCUGGGCGCCGCCGCUGCCUCCCUUCCCCGCUUCUACCCUCCAGCAGACGCCCGCCGGAGCGACCCCUCCCAGGGUGACCGGGGGAAGGUGUUCCACGUGGCCAUAGCGUUUGCGUCACAAUGACCUGGCGGACAGGUGGGAGCCACAGCGUACACCCCAGGGUUCCCUCUGUGCUGUGCGUAGUGCCUACUGCUUGCUUCCAGGUUAAAUUUCUGUAGCUUUAGAGGACAGGAGACUUCAUGACUUCACUGCCAAGAAAAGUUACAGAGGCCUGCUGUACCUGGAAAUCAAGUUUGAGCUUCGAGAAUAAAGGUCAUGUUUUAAAAACA